GUGGCCGCCGGUGGCGGCGGCGGGGCCAUGAACGCGGAGCGGGACCUGUCGCCGCUGACGCCCGGCGUGGUGCGGGCGCUCACCGACAAACUCUACGAGAAGAGGAAGGUGGCGGCCCUGGAGAUAGAGAAGCUGGUGCGAGAGUUUGUGGCUCAGAACAACACAUCCCAGAUCAAACACGUGAUCCAGAUCCUGUCACAGGAGUUUGCGCUCUCCCAGCACCCCCACAGCCGGAAAGGAGGGCUCAUUGGCCUCGCUGCUUGCUCCAUUGCCCUGGGCAAGGACUCUGGGCUGUACCUGAAGGAGCUGAUUGAGCCAGUGCUGACGUGUUUCAAUGAUGCUGACAGUCGACUGCGGUACUAUGCCUGUGAAGCUCUCUACAACAUUGUCAAGGUGGCCAGGGGCUCUGUCCUCCCACACUUCAAUGUGCUCUUUGAUGGCCUCAGCAAGCUGGCUGCUGAUCCUGACCCAAAUGUCAAAAGUGGCUCCGAGCUCCUUGAUCGCCUCCUCAAGGAUAUCGUGACAGAGAGCAACCAGUUUGACCUGGUAGGCUUCAUCCCACUGCUGCGGGAGAGGAUUUACUCCAACAACCAGUAUGCCCGCCAGUUCAUCAUAUCCUGGAUCCUGGUCUUAGAGUCCGUGCCUGAUAUCAACCUCUUGGAUUACCUUCCAGAAAUCCUAGAUGGACUCUUCCAGAUCCUGGGAGACAACAGCAAGGAGAUACGGAAAAUGUGUGAGGUGGCUCUUGGAGAAUUCCUCAAGGAGAUCAAGAAGAAUCCCUCCAGUGUGAAGUUUGCAGAAAUGGCCAAUAUCCUGGUGAUCCACUGCCAGGCAGCAGAUGACCUGAUCCAGCUGACAGCCAUGUGCUGGAUGCGGGAGUUCAUCCAGCUGGCUGGCCGGGUGAUGCUGCCCUACUCCUCAGGGAUCCUGACCGCCGUCCUGCCGUGUCUCUCCUACGAUGACCGCAAGAAGAACAUCAAGGAGGUGGCAAACGUGUGCAACCAGAGCCUAAUGAAGCUGGUCAUCCCAGAGGAUGAUGAAAUGGAUGAGGCCAAGCCAUCAAUGACCAUACCAGCAGAGCCCACCUCGGAGGAGUCCGACUCCAGGCCAGAGGCAGUGACCACCGGUUCUCUGGAUGCCUCUGGUGACUCCAGCAACAGUGGUGUCUUCACAGUAACCAGCUGUGAGAGAAUACAGGUGACCCUGAACCUGGAUGGAAUAGUUCAGGUGCUGGACUACCACCUUAGUGAUACAUCCAUUGGGAUGAUGACCAGAAUUGCAGUCCUGAAAUGGCUCUACCACUUGUACAUCAAGACUCCUCGUAAGAUGUUCCGACACACCGACAGCCUCUUCCCCAUCUUGCUGCGGACCCUCUCAGAUGAGUCGGAUGAGGUUAUCCUGAAGGACCUGGAAUUGCUGGCUGAGAUCGCUUCUUCCCCAGCAGGACAGACAGAGGAGGGUCCCGGUCCCUCCGAUGGCUCCGAUGUGCGACCUGGCCCGGUGGAGCUUCAUGUCCCAGCCAGGGCUGGCCAGCUGAGCUCUUCCAGUACAAAAGGCCUGGAGUGCUCACCCUCCACCCCCACCAUGAACUCCUACUUCUACAAGUUCAUGAUCAACCUGCUCAAGCGCUUCAGCAGUGAACGGAAACUCCUGGAAACCAGAGGAGCCUUCAUCAUCAGGCAGCUUUGUCUACUUCUGAAUGCAGAGAACAUCUUCCACUCCAUGGCAGACAUACUGCUUAGGGAGGAGGACCUCAAAUUCGCCUCUACCAUGGUCCACACCCUCAAUACCAUCCUGCUGACAUCCUCCGAGCUCUUCCAGCUGAGAAACCAACUGAAGGACCUGAAGACUCCGGAAAGCCGUAACCUCUUCUGCUGCCUGUACCGGUCCUGGUGUCACAACCCUGUGACGACCGUGUCCCUCUGCUUCCUUACCCAGAACUAUAAGCAUGCCUACGACCUCAUCCAGAAAUUCGGGGACCUGGAGGUCACCGUGGAUUUCCUCACUGAGGUGGACAAGCUGGUGCAGCUCAUCGAGUGCCCCAUAUUCACGUAUCUCCGCCUGCAGCUGCUGGAUGUGAAGAACAACCCCUACCUGAUCAAGGCUCUCUAUGGCCUGCUGAUGCUGCUGCCCCAGAGCAGCGCCUUCCAGCUCCUCUCCCAUCGCCUCCAGUGCGUGCCCAACCCAGAGCUCAUGCAGACCACGGACAACACCAAGCCCAGCACCAGCUUCAAGAGAGCAGCAGCCUCCAACAUCGACUACACGGAGCUGCUGCAGCACUUUGAGAAGGUCCAAAACAAGCACCUGGAAGCAAGACACCAGCGAGCCGGGCGGGCAGAGCAGCUGGACCGGCGCGUGGUGCUCUGAGCACCCCUGGCCCCGUGGGUGUGCACAGUUGCUGGGGCAGGGACCAGGGGCACAGACCAGGGAACAGGCACACCGGUUGCUGGCCACCGGAGGAUCUGCAGGAAAAAAACGCCACUGAAAUUCUUCCAGGCCACGGUCACGAAACCGCAGCACAGUGACAGGCAUUUUCCUGGCCCUGAGCAGCUGCUGGUGUUGCCUUCAUCCUGUCCUGUGGCACCGAGGGACCCCGGCACGUGCCAGGCUCCUGCAAUUUGGGGAGACACCAUUGCAUCCCCUGCAUGUUUCAGGCCCUCGCUUGAUCCCAGGAAAAGGGGAUCUGGAGGAAUUUGUGGAGUUUUUAUGGCUUCUGGCCUGUUUACAGGGAAGACUGUCUCUGGCAGUGGGUUCCCCAAACAGCCCCAUACCGGCGCUGCUUUGGCCAGGAUAAAGACAUUCCUGUCAUUCCCGGGGAAGGGCUUUCCAGAUCCAGUCACGGCGGGUUAAUUUUAACAGCCAGCCCUCGAGGAUGUGUGAGCAGUGACUUCUGGAGCCAGCCGGUGUCACAGGGUGCUGGGGGUACCUGUUGAUGGACCCUGGGUCGUUAUCAGGGUGGGCUCUGCUUCACUCCUGCCAAGCUCAUUGCUGCUGAGCAGCCUCUUUCCACACUGAGGGACUGGGUUUAUGGAGAGAAAUUCCAGCCGGCUGCUGGAGUGCUGAGCCAUAAUUGUUUCCUCAUGGGUGGCUCUUGACCAACACCGUCCAGAGCAGUGUGGGCAUCAUCAGCAUGGGAUCAAGACUACUUUUCUGGCAGGAGGGGGAAUAGGUGGCUCAGGCUGAAACCCUUGCCCAGCUGAGCGUCACUGCACUGUGAGGGGUAGGAAGGUUUGUCAGGGCUCAGCCUGGCAGCCCCAGAUCCCGGGAGGCUGGGGCUGGGACCUCGGGAUGUCUGUGAGAAGGGUUUGUCUGCUGGCAGGCCAUGCAUUUCCCAUGGCUCCCUGAUAAUCGAGUGCACAGACGCAUUUCAGAGCUGUCGUGUAACUACUGAGGAGGGACUUCACCCUCCAGCACAUCUUGGAGGGUCAGGAAGGCAAUGGGGGUCAAACACCCUUUGGGGAGAGGCAGCAUCCCCCUGGUGCCUCCAGAGGUCUGGGAAUGCGCCCGGACAUCCUAUGGCAUCUCCAAGUGCAGUGUCUUCACAUACUCCCUGGGGCUCUCCUGCUCCUCACCCAGCACCCCAAGAUAAUCCCUGGGGGUUCCUACUCCGCCACGGGAGCAAACCCCGAUGCUGCGCGCACCAGUGCCACAUCUCCAGGCAUCCCUCGGGUCUCCCUCCGCUGUAGUCCUGGGGCACACGGUGCUGCUCCCCGACCCCCUUCCCCCCCAUCAGUAGCAUCCCCGAGAACCACCGGGGCUGCCCCUUGCCCUCCGCUCCGCCAUCCCUGCGCGUCCUCCGGGCAGCGGCUCGCGGAGCAUCCCCGGGGCUGACCCC